rnacentral:rRNA from 1 species
UACGAAGGGGGCUAGCGUUGUUCGGAAUUACUGGGCGUAAAGGGCGCGUAGGCGGUCCUGAUCGUCGGAUGUGAAGGGCCUGGGCUCAACCUGGGAAUGGCAUCCGAUACGGCGGGACUGGAGUGUGGGAGAGGUUGGUGGAAUUCCCAGUGUAGAGGUGAAAUUCGUAGAUAUUGGGAAGAACACCGGUGGCGAAGGCGGCCAACUGGACCACAACUGACGCUGAGGCGCGAAAGCGUGGGGAGCAAACAGG